CUUUACCGCAACCCUCUUUCUCUCUCUCUCUCCAUUUUCGAUUUAAUCCAUCUCCGGUCCAUUUAACAGACAGAACACAGCAACCUGCUAGGCUGUAACCAGCAACCCAUCUCCGGUCUCCGAGCUCCGCCUCCAGCCUUUCAAGCCCCACCGGCCACUGCCGAACUCGGGGUUGAAGACUUGGAGCACUCCCGAGUCCCGAACACGGAACACAACGAGCAAGGCUAUAACCAGCAACCAGCAACCCGUCUCCUCCUGUCCGGUCUCCGAGCUCCGCCUCCAGGACACAGCUCUUCAAAUCACCUAAUGCUUCCCAUCCAGAGACACAAUGGAGGGAGAUUCACGAAAUGCUUCUCUUGUUAACAAUUAAAGCAGCGAGAGCCGGCACUAACAGCUGCGGUUGCAGAGAAGGCAAGAUCGCCAGGGCCAAGAAGGUAAAGGAGUUUCAGUCUGGCAAAAGUUGUUAGAAUCUCAGAGUAGUUGCAUAUAUUCAAGAAGUUGGAAAGUCCAGGUUUUUAAACUCCUACAGGCAAGGGUUUGAGAGUUUUAAGGAUUUUGCCCCAAGGUUAGCACAGUGAUUCAUGAUUUUAAUGAAGUCAGCCUAUUUGUUAUAGUUAGUUAGUUACUAUCUGUUUGUUAUGUAAUUACUAUAACCAUGUAAUUAUUUCUUUUUAGACAGUAGUUGUUUUUUGCUUGGGCAGAUGAGUUUCAAUGUUGCUGGCAAGCUGUUU
rnacentral:lncRNA from 1 species